GAUGAACGCUGGCGGCGUGCCUAAUACAUGCAAGUCGAGCGAACAGACGAGGAGCUUGCUCCUCUGACGUUAGCGGCGGACGGGUGAGUAACACGUGGAUAACCUACCUAUAAGACUGGGAUAACUUCGGGAAACCGGAGCUAAUACCGGAUAAUAUAUUGAACCGCAUGGUUCAAUAGUGAAAGACGGUUUUGCUGUCACUUAUAGAUGGAUCCGCGCCGCAUUAGCUAGUUGGUAAGGUAACGGCUUACCAAGGCGACGAUGCGUAGCCGACCUGAGAGGGUGAUCGGCCACACUGGAACUGAGACACGGUCCAGACUCCUACGGGAGGCAGCAGUAGGGAAUCUUCCGCAAUGGGCGAAGGCCUGACGGAGCAACGCCGCGUGAGUGAUGAAGGUCUUCGGAUCGUAAAACUCUGUUAUUAGGGAAGAACAAAUGUGUAAGUAACUAUGCACGUCUUGACGGUACCUAAUCAGAAAGCCACGGCUAACUACGUGC
rnacentral:rRNA from 1 species